rnacentral:rRNA from 1 species
CAGUCGCCGCGGGAAUACGAAGGGUGCAAGCGUUAAUCGGAAUUACUGGGCGUAAAGCGUGCGUAGGCGGUUUGUUAAGUCUGUUGUGAAAUCCCCGGGCUCAACCUGGGAAUGGCAAUGGAUACUGGCAAGCUAGAGUGUGUCAGAGGAUGGUGGAAUUCCCGGUGUAGCGGUGAAAUGCGUAGAGACGUGGAGGAACACCGAUGGCGAAGGCAGCCCCCUGGGCCAAUACUGACGCUCAUGCACGAAAGCGUGGGGAGCAAACAGGAUUAGAUACCCCUGUAGUCCCUGUCUCUUAUAC